AAUGAAUACACCCAGGUCUUGGACCAGGGGCCUGAGGUCAAUUUGAGUGGGCACAAUCGAUUGCCUUUUUGAACCUCGACGCGGCUCGUUUUCCCGUCUUUACGUGGCAGCAUUUGCGAGGAAGUUGCGUCCCCCUUCUCCUACUGGCUCCUCCUCCGCAAGUCGGCGGCUGAGCGUUUUGUUCGCUAAUCUAUUUUUCACAUAGCUAAACAGUAGAGAAAAACAACAGUAAUCAUGUUUACUCUCUCGGAGUGUAUGGUCAUUUUAUCUAUGUUAUCCGCCACAGCGUCAGGUUACUUCGUAAGCAUCGACGCUCAUGCAGAAGAGUGUUUCUUUGAACGAGUCAACUCUGGUACCAAGAUGGGCCUCAUGUUUGAGGUGGCCGAAGGAGGUUUCCUAGACAUCGAUGUGGAGAUCACAGGUCCAGAUGGGAAGCAGAUUUACAAAGGAGACCGAGAAUCCAGUGGGAAGUACUCGGUGGCUGCCCAUAUGGAUGGCACAUACAAAUUUUGCUUCAGCAAUAAGAUGUCCACCAUGACACCCAAGAUCGUCAUGUUCACCAUUGACAUUGGAGAGGCCCCCAAGGGAGACGGCAUGGAGACAGAAGGUUCUCUGGAAGACUCUUUCCUUCAUAUUCCUUCUUCCUUCAUAUUCAUCCUUUUCUCAUUCUGCUCUCCACCCUCCAUCAGGUGGUGGAGACACCUGGGACGCCCACCAGAACAAGCUGGAAGAGAUGAUUAAUGAGCUAGCAGUUGCCAUGACCGCAGUAAAACACGAGCAGGAAUACAUGGAGGUCCGAGAGAGGAUACACAGAGCGAUUAAUGACAACACAAACAGCCGAGUGGUGCUUUGGUCCUUCUUUGAAGCUCUUGUGCUGGUAGCCAUGACCCUUGGACAGAUCUACUACCUGAAGAGAUUUUUCGAAGUGCGGAGAGUUGUGUAAAACAUUUUAUUUUUCCCCAAAAGUAUUUACCAUUCACUUGAGCUAUUAGCCACACCAUACUUCAAAAUUGGAAAUCAAACAUCUGAAAAUACUUUGUCCAAUCUCCUGUUUUUCUGUUCGUGUACUUCAGGCCAUGGUACAUAUGCAUGUUUUUCCACUUGCGGAAAACUGUCUUCGCAUUGACUCCUCAGACUUUGACAUCAAUAGCACUGAAGAGGGUAUUAUUAAUUUUUGAUCAAGGAAGGUUUGAGUAUUUGCACAUUCAAAGCCACCGCCCCAAAAUGCUGGAUGUCAUUUUCUCAUCUUAUAGUUGUGGAUAGAAUGAGUAGGUGGUGGAAAUAUUUUUGCUUUUACAUAGUCGUACCAUCAUCCAGAGCGACAGUGAGUGCAUACAUUUUUUAUACUGGUCCGCCAUGGGAAUCAAACCCGCAACCCUGCUGUUGCAAGCGCCAUGCUCUACCAACUGAGCCACACUGGACACAUUCCAAGCCCAGUGUUGUAUUUGAUCUGUUAUUCUUUCUAAAUGUGUUCGUUAGACAACUGUUCAGCUUUUUUUUUAACACUUCCUGUGCCAAUCAGUCACAGUAUGCACAUUUUAAUGGUAAAAAUACAAAGUAAUGGCAUAUACUUUGUAGUAAUGAUUCUACCUUUUGGGGCAAGGGCAGUACAAAAAGCCUUGGUAUGGGAUCUGAGUUGUUGCCAGUUUUAAGUAGUCACUUGAGCAUUUCUAUUUAUCAAAUGAGGACAAUUUCCUACAGACUUAGUUUAUUGGUAUUUGUUCAAGGGAUGUUUUAUUUUGGGUACAGAGGGUGAAUAACUCAUCUGAGCCAACACACCUGAGAGAGCUCAGACAAACUAUGGAUGACCCAAGUCCUGUUCAUAAUAAAAAGUCUCCUUUUCCUUU